rnacentral:rRNA from 1 species
CUACGGGUCGCUGCAGUAGGGAAUAUUGCGCAAUGGGGGAAACCCUGACGCAGCAACGCCGCGUGAGUGAGGAAGGCCUUCGGGUUGUAAAGCUCUUUUAUUAGGGAAAAAUGUGCUUAAGAUUAAUACUCUUAAGUUUUGAUGGUACCUAAAGAAAAAGCACCGGCUAACUUCGUGCCAGCAGCCGCGGUAAUACGAAGGGUGCAAGCGUUGUUCGGAUUUAUUGGGCGUAAAGCGCGCGCAGGCGGAUGAUCAAGUCAGGUGUGAAAUCUCGGGGCCUAACCUCGAAACUGCGCCUGAAACUGGUUAUCUAGAAUGUCAUAGGGGGUAGGGGAAUUUCACGUGUAGGGGUAAAAUCCGUAGAGAUGUGAAGGAACACCAGAGGCGAAGGCGCCUACCUGGAUGACUAUUGACGCUGAGGCGCGAAAGCGUGGGGAGCAAACAGGAUUAGAUACCCGAGUAGUC